CGCUCGGCCGCCUGGACCAGUCCGGAGCCCAGCGCGGCCGCGGUGCGGGUGGGAGUGCGGAAGCGGGUUCCUCCUCCUUUAAAGUUGAGUGACACGUGGGCGGCCGGCCACAGUCUCCGUACACUUGUUCCCCGCAGAGGAUAAUCAGCGUCGCAACUCCUGUUAGUGUCUUCACCCGGCACCCAGCGCCCGGUCCUUGGCACUUGGCCCUCAGCACCCGGCACCCAGCCUGCACAGCACCUGGGCACAGUCAAGCUGAACGUCUCCCGCGGAGACUCGCGCUCUGCUAAAGCAGUUACAUUUCCCGACAAGUGCCAGUGACCGCACCACCGUUCCGUCCCAUGAAGUCGAGUGAGUGCCAGACGACCGUCACCGAGCCCAGCGCCCGGCCUGCUAUUUCCUACCUCAUUUAAGGAUGAAAUUCUGGUGAGACUACUGGUCUACCCCAACCGCAGCUAGGCGGCCUUCUCCCUCCCACAGCAGGCACUGGAGAUGCUUCGUCCCGAGGUGUUGGGUUCAACAGGAUAGACCUCUAGAGGCGGUGCAGAGUCUGCCAUCCGAAAAAUGCCUUCAUCGCGGUGAAAACCCGCUGGUGCCCACGGGCCGGACAGAAGGCAGAAGAUGUGCCUCUGGGCAGCCGUUCUCCCCAGGAAUGAAGGACCCGAAAGUGAGUCCCCAAAGUGAGGGGACUCGGGGAGCCACACGCCGUCCCUGAAAGAGGAAGGAUCAUUUUACUGACAACAGAAAGAUUAAUCAUACAUUUCACAAAGGAGCCGCAAAGUUCGUUUACCAAAUUACAGAGAAAGAGGCUCCGUAGCAGCAGGGCUCAGGGCUUUUUUAAACUGCUAAGUUACUUUGGAUUCUUCCAGAAGCAAACCUUGAGUCAAGGAUUUUGAUGCUCCCAGGAGUACCCGCUCUCACCCGCAGCUCCCCUCCCGCCCCUGGCCGGACAGAGAAAGACAGAUGUCCUCAGGCUACUCCUGGCCGGAAGCCGGGCCAGCAGUCCGUCAGGAGAGACGGGCUCGUGCAGCAACACUGAGCAGGAAAAAAACAGGUAUGAUGAGCCCGUGGGGACCCAAGACCGCCCGGUGAGACAGAAGCAGCAGAGGAAGACGGCAAUGAGAAAUCCUGCAGGACUAGUGAAAUAGGCGUAACUUCUGGGGAAGGGGAAGCGCCGGUGUGGAACCUGGAGCGUGUCUACACCGCCUGCUGGGGCAGCAUCUCCUGGUGCCGGGAAAAGCCUGGAGGUGGGAGAGCGUGCGGAAAGAACGGAAGAGCUCACGGAAGCUAAUGACGCCUCUGAAAUACAGCCGGCAGUAGACGUGGGUGUCCGUUACCCGAACCCGAAAGGGCUGACCCACGGGCCGCCCCAGGGAGCGGAGGGUUGAUAGGGACUUCGGUAAUCAGGAAAGUGAUUGAUAACCAGGAUGAAAGCCAUGGCAUUAAUAAUAAAGGGAUCGAUGACACACACAAAUAUAUCUACAGACCAUUGCCUCAACUGGAAGACGGCAAAACCCCAGAUGUAUCACUGCUUUCAAAUUUAUUUAUAGAUCGAUGUCUUAAUGUGAUAAACAGCGGGCCUGUCAACGAAAAAUACUGAAAACCACAACGUACAACCGUGGCUUUUGUUCCUUUUCUGCGCUGCACGAGAGAUGUCGGCGCGGGUCCGGGACUCGGGACGGCUCCUUCGUCAUCUGGCGGGUGGUGGCAGAUGGCCGCUAGCCCCACGGCCGGCCGCUAACGAACACAAAACUGCGUCCCCGUGGACGCCCUCAGGCCGGAGCCGCGGGGCUCCAGAAGUGGCGGUGGCUCCGCCGCGUCUAAUCGGCCCCGCUGCUGCAGCCGAGGGCUGUGUGAGAGGGAGCUGGCCCGUGGCUCUGGGCUCAGCCGUUCGGUCCCUAGACAGACCGAAGGGAAGGCCGAGGACAGCGGCUCUCACGGUUCCUUUGCCCCGUGUGGCUGCACGCGGCGUUCCAAGGAGCCCGCGCCCUCCUGCGUUUGCCCCCGAGUGAGGGGGCGCCUCCUGCCGGCCAGGCCUGGAAAUAGGUCCUGGAGGCGGAAGCAUGGCUGCAGAGACCGAACCUGCGCUCCCCCUCCGGCCCGGGAGGCAGCACAGAGUGGGGCAAGGGGUGCAGCAGGAGUGGCAAAGGAGGCCGAAGCUGUCUCUGGGCACAGCCGGGGGUGACCAGGCAGAAGGGGACACUUCCAGCCAGACAGUCAGGGAGGCUCAAGACGAGUGUCCUGCCAAACCCAGACACCCAGGGGAGAGGCCACGGGGCGCGGGGACCAGAGAGGCCCAAGUGGGCUGAAAGGCCAGGCUUUGAACUUGGUUCUUGGGGGAGCCAUGAAAGAUCAGGAUUCGAUGUUAUCGUGCCAAGAAUUGCCCUGGAGGCUCCAGUGCGGAUGCUGACUCAGUGGGUCUGGUGAGGCUGCUGCCAGGCUCCGGGUCACUGACGUGCAGAGAGGCCUCAGCUGAGCCAUCUAUUGCAGAAGAAUAGGUCCUAUUUUGGUAAAAAUAAAAAAUAAAAAUCAUCAUCAUCAUCAUCAUCAUAAUGCAAGUUGAUAUACACACUGAAUACCCAGAAGGAAAUGUGUUUCUGGAAAGAGGAGCACAGGGCAGACCCCCUUUCCCAUCCCAUGUGUAACCGUAAUGGUUCCAGUUUUACGGUGAGCAUGAAUUAUUUUGCAUCAGUAAAACAAAAAUCAAUAAAUUGAUGCACUGAAACAAAAAAAGUUUGUGAA